AGCGAAGGACAACCACCGAAGCAGAAAUGAGAGAGGUGAGCGCAGCGGAGGAAGGCUCUUGGCAUUUUGCCAUUACAUUGCAACCAUGAUUACGAUUAGAACUGGCAUUGUCUUGCCACCAGACGGCAGGAUGGACUCAGUACCGGGACGCAGCACCCAGAACUAUCAGCAGCAGCAGAGAGUGGUCUGCGUCUUUGCGUGUGUGUGUGUGUGUUUUUAUAACAUUUGUGGAUUACGCCUAUAAAAACUACACCUCACCGCGGAGCCAGCGAUGGCGAUCCAGAUACAACAAAGGACAAACAUUAUUCAGCAAAAAUGGUGAGUUAAAUCUUGUAUCCUCUAGACGUAAGACCCACAUAUUAUUCUGUCAUGAACUUUAUCCCGUAACCCACGAACAUAUGUAUUUAUUGAUUGCGCCACUAACGAGUCAGUAUAUCAUUAGUGCAAUUAAACAGCAAUAAAUGAAGAGGAAAAUACACGC